rnacentral:rRNA from 1 species
UACAUAGGGGGCAAGCGUUAUCCGGAAUUACUGGGUGUAAAGGGUGCGUAGGCGGUCAUAUAAGUCAGAUGUGAAAACCCAAGGCUUAACCAUGGGAAUGCAUUUGAAACUAUGUGACUAGAGUACAGGAGAGGUAAGUGGAAUUCCUAGUGUAGCGGUAAAAUGCGUAGAUAUUAGGAAGAACACCAGUGGCGAAGGCGACUUACUGGACUGAAACUGACGCUGAGGCACGAACGCGUUGGGAGCGAACAGG